GACGAACGCUGGUGGCGUGCUUAACACAUGCAAGUCGAACGAUGAAGUUCCUUCGGGAAUGGAUUAGUGGCGAACGGGUGAGGAACACGUGAACAAUCUGCCCCUUACACGGGAAUAACUUCGGGAAACCGAAGCUAAUACCCGAUAUUGAAUUCGGUAGGCAUCUACUGAAUUUGAAAUGGUCCGCCGGUAAGGGAUGAGUUCGCGGCCUAUCAGCUUGUUGGUGAGGUCACGGCUCACCAAGGCGACGACGGGUAGCCGGCCUGAGAGGGCGACCGGCCACACUGGGACUGGGACACGGCCCAGACUCCUACGGGAGGCAGCAGUGGGGAAUAUUGCGCAAUGGACGAAAGUCUGACGCAGCAACGCCGCGUGAGGGAUGACGGCCUUCGGGUUGUAAACCUCUUUCAAUCGGGACGAAGCGAAAGUGACGGUACCGAUACAAGAAGCACCGGCUAACUAUGUGCCAGCCGCCGCGGUAA
rnacentral:rRNA from 1 species